rnacentral:rRNA from 1 species
UACGUAGGUGGCAAGCGUUGUCCGGAUUUAUUGGGUUUAAAGGGUGCGUAGGCGGCUUUGUAAGUCAGUGGUGAAAUACUCUAGCUUAACUAGAGGGGUGCCAUUGAUACUGCAGAGCUUGAGUACAGAUGAGGUAGGCGGAAUUGACGGUGUAGCGGUGAAAUGCAUAGAUAUCGUCAAGAACACCGAUAGCGAAGGCAGCUUACUGGGCCGUAACUGACGCUGAGGAGCGAAAGCAUGGGGAGCGAACAGG